GCAUAUGCAAUCUCUUGUCCCAACUCUCAAGAUCUCUUAAUUUAUCUGGGAGAAAGGUUAGUAAUAGCUUUUAAAUUUGGUUGCAUGGAUGAUAUUCCUCUCCGAGAGAAGGAGCAGAAGCCUCUUACUGAAGUGCCACAAUUUGAAUUGCAUGUUCAUGGAAGGGCAAUUAAAAUAUCAGAACUUAAUACAUACUGUGGUUAAGGAGAUCACUUAUGAGAGGUUGCAAGAGGAGAACAAAAUUGCGUAGAAGUGUACAAGGCUGGGCAUGAAAUGAGAGUAACAACAAUGGAUUCUAGCCUCUGGGUGUUGUAAGGUGUGUUGACUAAUAUAUAGAAGAUACUUAAAAGUCCAAAUAUCUGAUGCCCCACACUGUGCCAUGAUCAUCG